GAAGCAGAUAGCUCAUCCUGGUAGAGCAUUUGGUGAGAGACCAGAGGGUAGGGGGUUCAAAUCCUCCUCCGUUUCA
rnacentral:tRNA from 1 species